CCUACGGGGGACAGCAGUGAGGAAUAUUGGUCAAUGGACGAAAGUCUGAACCAGCCAAGUAGCGUGAAGGAUGACUGCCCUAUGGGUUGUAAACUUCUUUUAUAAAGGAAUAAAACGAGGCACGUGUGCCUUAUUGCAUGUACUUUAUGAAUAAGGAUCGGCUAACUCCGUGCCAGCAGCCGCGGUAAUACGGAGGGUCCGAGCGUUAUCCGGAUUUAUUGGGUGUAAAGGGAGCGUAGAUGGGUUGUUAAGUCAGUUGUGAAAGUUUGCGGCUCAACCGUAAAAUUGCAAUUGAUACUGGGAGUCUUGAGUACAGUUGAGGUAGGCGGAAUUCGUGGUGUAGCGGUGAAAUGCUUAGAUAUCACGAAGAACCCCGAUUGCGAAGGCAGCUUACUAAACUGUGACUGACAUUGAUGCUCGAAAGUGUGGGUAUCAAACAGGAUUAGAUACCCGAGUAGUC
rnacentral:rRNA from 1 species